rnacentral:lncRNA from 1 species
UGACACUGGACACAGAGCAUUUCUGCCACUCCUUGUUUAUGUUGACCCUUGGUUCAAUCUAUGUUGAAGGUGCGCUACUACGACGGCUCGGAAGCCACAGUCCCCAGGGAUCAGGUGUACUUAGUUCCUGCUGAGAAGUUUGAGCAGGAUGUGGCCUAUGCCUUGGAGUGUGAACAGCGCUGGGUUGGGGAACCAGUUGUAGCCAGAUGUGACAACACAGGGACCUACCACCCUGGUAACAGAUGAUACACACACAUCAUCCGCAUUGUUUCAUCAGUUUAAAUAUGCAAUAUAUCAAGUGCAUUUGCAUAAAUAAAUAUGCUGCUCAUGCAUUGUUUUGGUGGUAUUGAUAAAAGGUACACUAUUGUAAACACAAUUGGUAGCACCAUCAUUUAAAUAUUAUUGUUUAAUAUUUUUUAACAUAAAGACUUUUUCUAUCCUCUCACAUUUAUCGCUGUAGAAAUUCCCUCUGGAUAGAUGUAAGAGAUAAUGUACGGAGAUACUGUAUCAGUUAAAUUUUUUUUAAAUUACUGCUGCUGACAUGUGACCCACAGAGGAAAUUAAUAAAAAUAAAUUAAUAACCACUGAGAUAAGUAUGUUGUCAGUAUAAUUACCAUCCUAAAGACAAAAUUUUUUGUCAGAGGAAACGGAGUAAGUGUUUGGACCAUUUUUCUGUUUCUGCCCGAGCAGCGGAGGUGGAGCAGCAGGUGGGAAUUGGGAGGCAGUACUUGAUCCGCUGGGCCGAUGGAACCAGCACUGUCCAGGACAGGGACCGCAUCUUUGGGAAAUGGAGCCCGUGGCGCAUCCUUGUGCUGUCACCGUGCAGAAGCACACCACUGCUUUUGGAUCUCAGAGGAGCAGUGUGCCAGAGAACACGUGCCGGCCGGCAGCGAAGGUGGAAGAGGAGGACCGUGAGGAGGGUGAAGAGCACCCAGAACACACAACUUACCCCUCUGAGUCGGAUGCAUCCACUCACUGACCCCAUGCUGUCCUCUGCCCUCAGCAGGAACCUAUGACCUCUUCCACUGUUCACUUUCCACCCUGGUCUUUUACCCUCUGAGACCUCAGAUGAGGCCACAUGCCAUUUCAGAUUGUUGGUAAGAGGGAUAAAAACUAGUUUAAUGCAUUCUAGCAUGUAUGGCAGUAUAAUUGCAUUAAGCCUUAGGCAUUCUGCUUUCAGUAGUUUGUGUAUUAUACUAUAAUACACUCUUGGGUGAGGUGAGGCCUGGGCAAAAAGGCCUCGCUGCCCCUUCUCUCAUAGGGCCCGUUGCCACCUGUGUUGUUGUUGAUCGUUCUCAGGUUAAUACUUUUAUUUUUCACACUGCAGGUUAUUUCUGCUAUUCUCCGGUAUUUCAAAAUGUAAGCUUUGCUCUCGUGUAUUGUGGUUAAACAGGGUAAAAUUUGCUACAACCUCUGUAAAGCAAAAUGUCUGCAAAUAAAGGUUUGCUCCUAUGACUAAGUAGAUUUUUU